ensembl:lncRNA
CUGUGUCACAACAGGUGACUGUAGUGUUUUUGGUGGUCAGAUUUCAAGUACACGUCAGCGCGACAGAAGCGUAUGAUUUUCGGAAAUAAAGCGUGAGAGAUCUCACGUCGCUUGUGGUCGUUUAAAUGGACCUAAUGGACAGUCCUCUGAACCGCGCCCAUCUGUGCGGCAGAAAGGCAAACCGGUUGGUAGCGCAAGAGAAUUACAAGGAGGCAAUUUUAUGCCAUGGAGAGGCAGCAGGUAACAGUGUACUUUCUCUCUGCCACAAUUCGAUUAAAAAAGUGUCUUUGUUUUUGAGAAAAACACGUGUCUUUGUCUUUCUCCCUGUACAGAUCUGCUGAAAGUUGCCUUAUUGAUGACACAAAAUGAGCAGGUAGGGCAUUUUACCAUGACACCUGUUAUAACAUUGUAGUAAUGGAGUAACCUUUUACAACAAAGGCUCCAACAUAAUGAGUGAAGACACUUCCAAGCAGGAGUGCUGCAUGACACCAUUAAACAGUUUACGCCCCACCAUGCUCUGUGGAAUAAAUCAAAAGUGCUGAACAGGCUCAACUGAU